rnacentral:rRNA from 1 species
AGCAGCCGCGGUAAUUCCAGCUCCAAUAGCGUAUAUUAAAGUUGUUGCAGUUAAAAAGCUCGUAGUUGAAUUUCGGGAUCAAAGAAUCGGUCAUGCCUUGGUAUGUACUGGUUUUAUUGGUUCUCACCUUCUAAAGAACCAUGAUGUCAUUCAUUUGAUGUUAUGGGGAAUUAGGACUGUUACCUUGAAAAAAUUUAGAGUGUUUAAAGCAAGCUUACGCUUGAAUACAUUAGCAUGGAAUAAUGAAAUAGGACAUCAGAUUCUAUUUUGUUGGUUUCUAGGAUCGAUGUAAUGAUUAAUAGGGAUAGUUGGGGGCAUUAGUAUUCAAUUGUCAGAGGUGGAAUUCUUGGAUUUAUUGAAGACUAACUACUGCGAAAGCAUUUGCCAAGGAUGUUUUCAUUAAUCAAGAACGAAAGUUAGGGGAUCGAAGACGAUCAGAUACCGUCGUAGUCUUAACCAUAAACUAUGCCGACUAGGGAUCGGAUGAUGUUAAUUUUUUAAUGACUCAUUCGGCACCUUA